GACGAACGCUGGCGGCGUGCCUAAUACAUGCAAGUAGAACGCUGAAGGAGGAGCUUGCUUCUCUGGAUGAGUUGCGAACGGGUGAGUAACGCGUAGGUAACCUACCUGGUAGCGGGGGAUAACUAUUGGAAACGAUAGCUAAUACCGCAUAAGAGUAGAUGUUGCAUGACAUUUGCUUAAAAGGUGCAAUUGCAUCACUACCAGAUGGACCUGCGUUGUAUUAGCUAGUUGGUGAGGUAACGGCUCACCAAGGCGACGAUACAUAGCCGACCUGAGAGGGUGAUCGGCCACACUGGGACUGAGACACGGCCCAGACUCCUACGGGAGGCAGCAGUAGGGAAUCUUCGGCAAUAGACGGAAGUCUGACCGAGCAACGCCGCGUGAGUGAAGAAGGUUUUCGGAUCGUAAAGCUCUGUUGUAAGAGAAGAACGAGUGUGAGAGUGGAAAGUUCACACUGUGACGGUAUCUUACCAGAAAGGGACGGCUAACUACGUG
rnacentral:rRNA from 1 species